GCCCGUGUGGUGUAAUGGUUUGUGCAUUGAACUACAACUCUGGAGACCAGGAUUCAAAUCCCUGCUCAGCCA